CAUGGAAAAUCUGCAAGGUCUUUGCUCAUGUUAAUGAGAGGCAACCAGAAGCUCAGUCUCUGUCCAACAAAUCCUACUUCAAGUUGGAAGAGAAGAAAGGUCAGAAGAGUCAGCACUGCAAGGAAGGACUCACUAAGGAUAGGUGGUGGAUAUUCAAUCCACAUCUGGAACAAAUGUACAUUCAAUAAGCCCCCAUGGGCUGGAGAGUCAAGAAACCAGCUCAGGUUUCUUGAGAGUAAGCUGAAUUUUCUACUCUAAUAAAAGCACUGUGUGUGCUGGUCGUUUGUGUUGUCUUAGGGUGUUUAGAAACUAGCUUGUUGUUCUUGUCUAGUUUCUACACAUGAAAAGACUGUCCAAUUGUCAUUUUGUCUAAGUAUUUGUCUGCCUUAGAAUUUUGUUAAGAGUCUUAGUGCUAUUUUUAAUCUCUAUCUCUGAAAAAAAAAAAAAAAUUUGCCAUUAUAUUAUUCUAAUCUUUUCUAGAAAAUUGUCUGGUUUAUUUGCUUCAAAAUUGUCAAGAAAAAGUUUAGAAAUUUCUUUUAACAGGUUGUUUAGACCUGGUGUUAGGUUGUGAUGUUUCUAUGUUACCUGAAAGGUUAGUUAUGAUAAUUAGGAUUCAGUGUUGUUGCUUGAAUAGUUUCAAGAAAGUUUAUGUCCAUUGUGUUCUUUGUUAAGGUGUUUUUGGAGAUCAGACUUGGUGAGAAACCAUGUUCUGAUCUCUUUAUUGUCUUUUGAUACCUGUCUUUAGUUGUGGUGACAGGUUAUUAAAUGUUAUGUGAUGGCCUUUACACAUCAAGCACAAGCUCAAAGCUCACACCCUCUUGAAGACUGCUCAAACCGACUUUCUCAAAUUUACUUCAAUAUGGAGUCAACAAAAGCCACAGUCAUUCUCAGGGUUCCUAUCUGAUCCCCUGGUCGUGUAUGAACCAAGAAGACCAGGAGGACAGGAGGGGAUCUAAGGGUGAGCUUUA